GUUUGAUGGCUUGAAUGCUUCCAGUUUUGUAGCUACAGCACUUGCAGUGCCAUGUGAUAGAAUAUAUUUUUUACCCUGUGGUCAAACUGGGAAGGGCUUUGAUGGGUCAGGUGGACUCGUGGCACCUUCAGAGAACUGCAGCAAGCUGCCUGAUCAUCCUUGCUGCUGUCGCUGCUUCAAACCUGGAACAACAGUGCUGCUAAAUAGGGUAGCUUAGUAUUUUGCUCUGCCCUGUGCUGCCUUCUAGCAAAGAUGUGGGUUACAGUGUGGGAGCUGGCUGGAAUUUAAUGCUGGUGUGAUCGCCAUGGAAAUAAUUAGCCAUGAUUUCUCAAGCCUUCUGGUUACUGGAAGUCUGGUAAAUCCGAGAAAUCCCAGGAUGGCUGCAAAGCACCAUGGAGUAGGCAGAUUGGUUCAGCUAGUCGCACAAGUCGCUGUGGCUCCUUCAUGAAGCUGUCACCACAGACUUUCAUUUUGUACCCCUGAAAUGGAAGUGAAGUCUAGGAAGUAGCUGAAGAGGUGAUGAAGACUCAAUGAUGAUGUCAACUUUGCUGAAUUCUCUGAUCCCAGCACCAAGAAAAAUGGAAAAAUGUUUAAGGGACAGCCAUCAUAAAGGUAAUUAGCUUCUCCUGCUUACCUAAAAAGUCAUCGUUUGAUAGGCUGGCAUAUUUUUUUCAGAUAACAGGGUUAUAAAUGUAGUGCUUGAUCUAUAAUUGCUGGAGCUAUAUGUUUGCUUUUGUGACAGUAAAACCAAGAACCUGUUUUCUCAUGAAUGUUAGGAGUUUCAUCGGCUUAGAAUCCUAACGUGGUUAUUUCAGAUUUUAAAAUAUUUUUUCCUUUUUAACACUUUGCUUUGUAAAGAUCCUGAAUUCUUUCUUACAAUGUUAAUGAUUUCACACUUUUUAUCAUGUUAAGUGUGAAAGGUUAAGCAUCCAGACUGUAGAAAGAGCUAAAUUACUCUUGUACUAAUCACUGUCUGCUGGAGGAAAUUACUGUAUUAUGUAUUACUGUUGAGAUACUGGUGAAUCAAUAUUCAUGUAGAAGCCUGAACUCUUACAAUUUCUACAGUUUAUAACUGUUGUAUUUAAUUAGACUCUUUUCAAGGGUAAAAGAAAUGAUUAAUUGUAUUUUGUAUCUUAAAAAGUCUUUGUACACCUGGCUGGCAUGCUUUUCAUUCUCCAGAUUGUGAUGCUUAGAUAAAAUAUAUAUUCCUUAGAAUGACAGAAAUAACGCUGCCCUGUAAUUAGUACAGCACUAAUUAAUUAUCAAGUGUAUGUACUUGAACAGUUAAAUUUUUCAUUGUUGAAUUGUACCUCCAAGUUCAUCUAUGUUCUUUGAGUAGACAAAUUUUGCAAGAAAAGGCAUCUUUCCAUAACUAUUGCAAGUAAAGUAGGAAAUAUAAGUUAGAUAUUUGUCAGGUUUCACACCAAGGUCCCUGAGUACUUCUUGUUCUUGUGGAAUGAAAACAUCCCCUGCUAGUCUGGCUCUACAGCAUACAGUGUCCUUUGAUCCCAAAGGCCCAAGUCCAGAAAGCAAAAGAUAAAUAGAC
rnacentral:lncRNA from 1 species